UAGGGAAUCUUCGGCAAUGGGGGCAACCCUGACCGAGCAACGCCGCGUGAGUGAAGAAGGUUUUCGGAUCGUAAAGCUCUGUUGUAAGAGAAGAACGUGUGUGAGAGUGGAAAGUUCACACAGUGACGGUAACUUACCAGAAAGGGACGGCUAACUACGUGCCAGCAGCCGCGGUAAUACGUAGGUCCCGAGCGUUGUCCGGAUUUAUUGGGCGUAAAGCGAGCGCAGGCGGUUUAAUAAGUCUGAAGUUAAAGGCAGUGGCUUAACCAUUGUUCGCUUUGGAAACUGUUAAACUUGAGUGCAGAAGGGGAGAGUGGAAUUCCAUGUGUACCGGUGAAAUGCGUAGAUAUAUGGAGGAACACCGGUGGCGAAAGCGGCUCUCUGGUCUGUAACUGACGCUGAGGCUCGAAAGCGUGGGGAGCAAACAGG
rnacentral:rRNA from 1 species